UAGGGAAUAUUAGAAAUGGACGAAAGUCUGAUCUAGCAACACCGCGUGUGCGAAGAAGGCCUUCGGGUUGUAAAGCACUUUUUGGAAGGAUUAGGAAGGAAUGUACUUCCAGAAUAAGUCUCGGCUAACUACGUGCCAGCAGCCGCGGUAACACGUAGGAGGCAAACGUUAUCCGGAUUUACUGGGCGUAAAGCGCGUGUAGGUGGUUCUGUAAGUAGGGCGUGAAAGCUCCUGGCUCAACUGGGAGAGGCCGUUCUAAACUGCAGAGCGAGAGGAUGGUAGAGGGAGGUGGAAUUCCGUGUGUAGCGGUGGAAUGCGCAGAUAUCCGGAGGAACACCAGUGGCGAAAGCGGCCUCCUGGACCAUUCCUGACGCUCAGACACGAAAGCUAAGGUAGCAAACG
rnacentral:rRNA from 1 species